rnacentral:sRNA from 1 species
AGGUUGGAAAAAUUCAUCGAAAGUUAUCUUAUCUAAAAGAGAUUCACGAAAAUACAUAUCAGAUAUAAAAAGACUGAUAAAUAUCAACACCAUAGAAGAGACAUCAGAUAAUAAUUCAGAAAGUUACGAACUUACAGAACAAGAAGGACAGUACGUAAACCAUGAAAUCAAUCUUAGCGGU